rnacentral:rRNA from 1 species
AUGGCUCAGGAUGAACGCUAGCUACAGGCUUAACACAUGCAAGUCGAGGGGCAGCGGGAAGGUAGCUUGCUAUCUUGCCGGCGACCGGCGCACGGGUGCGUAACGCGUAUCCAAUCUACCCAUGGCUCAGGGAUAGCCUUGCGAAAGUAAGAUUAAUACCUGAUGGUCUCACUUGAGGGCCUCCUUAUGUGAGUAAAGAUUUAUCGGCGAUGGAUGGGGAUGCGUCUGAUUAGCUUGUUGGCGGGGUAACGGCCCACCAAGGCGACGAUCAGUAGGGGUUCUGAGAGGAAGGUCCCCCACACUGGAACUGAGACACGGUCCAGACUCCUACGGGAGGCAGCAGUGAGGAAUAUUGGUCAAUGGGCGUAGGCCUGAACCAGCCAAAGUAGCGUGAGGGAUGACUGCCCUAUGGGUUGUAAACCUCUUUUGUUCGGGAAUAAAGUUCCGUACGUGUACGGUUUUGUAUGUACCUUACGAAUAAGCAUCGGCUAAUUCCGUGCCAGCCGCAGC